AGCGAACGCUGGCGGCAGGCCUAACACAUGCAAGUCGAACGAACCCUUCGGGGUUAGUGGCGGACGGGUGAGUAACACGUGGGAACGUGCCGUUAGGUUCGGAAUAACUCAGGGAAACUUGCGCUAAUACCGAAUGUGCCCUUCGGGGGAAAGAUUUAUCGCCUUUAGAGCGGCCCGCGUCUGAUUAGCUAGUUGGUGAGGUAAAGGCUCACCAAGGCUACGAUCAGUAGCUGGUCUGGGAGGAUGACCAGCCACAUUGGGACUGAGACACGGCCCAAACUCCUACGGGAGGCAGCAGCGGGGAAUCUUGCGCAAUGGGCGAAAGCCUGACGCAGCCAUGCCGCGUGGAUGAUGAAGGUCUUAGGAUUGUAAAAUCCUUUCACCGGUGAAGAUAAUGACUGUAGCCGGAGAAGAAGCCCCGGCUAACUUCGUGCCAGCAGCCGCGGUAACAC
rnacentral:rRNA from 1 species